AGCAUAUCAAUAAGCGGAGGAAAAGAAACCAACAGGGAUUGCCUCAGUAACGGCGAGUGAAGCGGCAACAGCUCAAAUUUGAAAUCUGGCCCCCGGCCCGAGUUGUAAUUUGCAGAGGAUGUUUCUGGCGAGGUGCCUUCCGAGUUCCCUGGAACGGGACGCCAUAGAGGGUGAGAGCCCCGUACGGUUGGUCGCUAAGCCUCUGUGAAACUCCUUCGACGAGUCGAGUAGUUUGGGAAUGCUGCUCUAAAUGGGAGGUAUACGUCUUCUAAAGCUAAAUAUAGGCCAGAGACCGAUAGCGCACAAGUAGAGUGAUCGAAAGAUGAAAAGCACUUUGAAAAGAGGGUUAAAUAGUACGUGAAAUUGUUGAAAGGGAAGCGCUCAUGACCAGACUUGGGCCGGUUGAUCAUCCAUCGUUCUCGGUGGUGCACUCUGCCGGCUCAGGCCAGCAUCAGUUUGACCCGGGGGACAAAGGCUUCGGGAAUGUGGCUCUCUCCGGAGAGUGUUAUAGCCCGUUGUGUAAUACCCUGGGUUGGACUGAGGUACGCGCUCCGCAAGGAUGCUGGCGUAAUGGUUAUCAGUGACCCGUCU
rnacentral:rRNA from 1 species